rnacentral:misc_RNA from 1 species
GCGUUGAGGAAGUCCAGCCUGCCUGCCGGCCGGCCAUGCUCAUGCGGCAUGGUCUCCUCAUCAGCCCUCGAGAUCUCGCGGACAGGCAGUCGUGCAGGUGCCCCAAGAUCCCAGCUCAACCACCACACCACACCACUUCUUUUUUUUCCCCACGAAUUGAUUGCCAACUCCCUUCUGCUGCUAGCGUGCAGUGCAGGCGUUGCAGGUCCCGGCCACGCAGGCAUGUGCUCGCCUCGCCCGCUUCCUGCCCCGAUGCGAUCCAAUCCAAAUUCCAAUCCAACCACCUUUUCAUCCCAACCGUCAACCGACGCUGCCGGCCGGUGCGUGCGCGUAAGCUCCCUCAGCUACUGCGGCGGCGACGGCGACGGCGACUCUCCGAGUCCAACCGACGGGGGGAGCACGAGCCCAGGCGAACGGCGCCAGUGCAAGGGAAUCGAAUAGAUGAUCUGGGCGUGAUCGGCCACAGCGGCAGGCACGGCACAAUCAACGCCAAGGGAGCCGGGAGAAACAGCAGGUCAGUUGAGGAUGGAUGUAUGUAUCAUGCGUUCCAGCGGGAUGGUUGGUGCCGGGAGGAGGGGCCGGGGCCAGGGCCUGGGCGAGCCGUGCCAGCGCCUACCGCCCGUUGUGAUCGGCCGUGCACGCGGCGGCAACCUCGCUUGGCCCGCCAAGCGGACCACACAUGCGCCAGCGCCGGCCGGCCGGUUCGGUGCUGUGGUGUGUGCUGGACUGGACUGGACUGGACUGGAUCCGUUUCGUCUCGGCAAGGGGAAAAAGAGAGAGAGAGAGAGAAGUCGACGGCAUGCCCCAUGCAGGCCCCGGCUCCAGUCGUUCGUUCGGUGGCGCGCGGCGUGCCUACCUUCCGUACGGGCUCGGAGUGCCUCCACGCCGGCGCGCGGCAUGGCAUGUGCCUUUGCCUGGUUUCUUUCGUCGUCGGUUGGUGCCGAUGCUUCCUUCCUUCGUUUCGUGUAACGGGCAAGAAACCCCCCCCCCCCCCCCCGCGCGUCUUGCGGGUGGAGGAACUCCUGGCGUCUUUGCAAACGCGAAUAUAAAUAUAAAUGCAUGAUGACGUCACGACAUCAUAAAAAGUUACCAUACACGUCUUUAUAGGAAGACGACGAAGAAGCCACGUCUUUAUAGACGUGUUUGGUGGGGGGCACAAGGAUGAAAUCCAAGUACGCUCUUCGUAUUCGUAGGAGAUCAUUUGUUUUGGUCCAUUCGUUUUUCUAGACCUUAUCUAUGUACAAGCCUUUGUUAA